AGAGCACAGAGAGCUUGCUCUCGGGUGACGAGUGGCGGACGGGUGAGUAAUGUCUGGGGAUCUGCCCGAUAGAGGGGGAUAACCACUGGAAACGGUGGCUAAUACCGCAUAACGUCGCAAGACCAAAGAGGGGGACCUUCGGGCCUCUCACUAUCGGAUGAACCCAGAUGGGAUUAGCUAGUAGGCGGGGUAACGGCCCACCUAGGCGACGAUCCCUAGCUGGUCUGAGAGGAUGACCAGCCACACUGGAACUGAGACACGGUCCAGACUCCUACGGGAGGCAGCAGUGGGGAAUAUUGCACAAUGGGCGCAAGCCUGAUGCAGCCAUGCCGCGUGUAUGAAGAAGGCCUUCGGGUUGUAAAGUACUUUCAGCGGGGAGGAAGGCGAUGUGGUUAAUAACCGCAUUGAUUGACGUUACCCGCAGAAGAAGCACCGGCUAACUCCGUGCCAGCAGCCGCGGUAAUACGGAGGGUGCAAGCGUUAAUCGGAAUUACUGGGCGUAAAGCGCACGCAGGCGGUCUGUUAAGUCAGAUGUGAAAUCCCCGGGCUUAACCUGGGAACUGCAUUUGAAACUGGCAGGCUUGAGUCUCGUAGAGGGGGGUAGAAUUCCAGGUGUAGCGGUGAAAUGCGUAGAGAUCUGGAGGAAUACCGGUGGCGAAGGCGGCCCCCUGGACGAAGACUGACGCUCAGGUGCGAAA
rnacentral:rRNA from 1 species